GUCAAGGAGCCAGCUGCAGUGUAGACGUUGGCACCUUAGCAGUAGGAGCCCUGCAGAGCCGGCGUUAGUGGUUCUGACCAGGCCUGAAGCCCCGCCCUCAUCGCCGUGAUCCGGACUCAGAACCUGCCUGUGCCCUGCGCUGGGCUGAACAGGGCCCUGGUCACUGUUCACGUUGACCCCCAGCACCAGGUGCAGGGCCUGCCCCCGCCACCGAGGAUCCACUACACAUAUUUUAUGAAUUAACCAAAUGAGGGAAAAACAAUGUGAAGGUCAAAAGCUGAACCAAUUUAUCCUUUCCAGACCCAACUGGCAGUUUUUCCCAAGGGAGACAGUCUGUCUCCAACUCUUACCUACCACUUCCUGCCUAGAAAGUUCCAGACUUGGAACCUGCGUGAAUGUAGCCCUUGUCUUUUGCUUUGCCCAGGGGUGGGUUGACAUGAUUUUUCAUGUGGGACACCCAGAAGUCACAUGAUAGAUGUCAGGAGUCAGGAGGAAGAAGACCCUGGGAAGGGAGAGAGGGAGGCAACAGCUAUGUGCACAUCACAAGGCUUGGCAAGAUGAGGGGCCUCCUCCAGUCGGAUGGCCGUAGUUCUCUGCUUUCCUUGCAUUUGGAAAAAAGAGUCCA
rnacentral:lncRNA from 1 species